rnacentral:rRNA from 1 species
UAUUGGGCGUAAGAGCUCGUAGGUGGUCUGUUACGUCUGCUGUGGAACCCUGGGCUCAACCUUGCACGUGCAGUGGGUACUGGCGGACUAGAGUGCAGUAGAGGAGUCUGGAGUUCCAUGGUGUAGCGUGUGAAAUGCGCAGAUGUAUGGAGGAACACCGGUGGCGAAAGGCGGCUCUCUGGGCUGUAACUGACGCUGAGGAGCGAAAGCGUGGGGAGCGAACAGGAUUAGA